rnacentral:rRNA from 1 species
UGAGGAAUUUUCGGCAAUGGGGGCAACCCUGACCGAGCAACGCCGCGUGCAGGAAGACGCUUUUCGGAGUGUAAACUGCUUUUCCCAGGGACGAGAAUGGACGGUACCUGGGGAACAAGCCCCGGCUAACUACGUGCCAGCAGCCGCGGUAAUACGUAGGGGGCGAGCGUUGUCCGGAGUUACUGGGCGUAAAGGGCACGCAGGCGGUCUCCCAAGUUUAGAGUGACAGUUGGUGGCUUAACUGCCAAAGUGCUCUGAAAACUGAGAGACUUGAGAGCUUCAGAGGGACUCGGAAUUCCGGGUGGAGUGGUGAAAUGCGUAGAGAUCCGGAGGAACACCAAAGGCGAAGGCAGAGUCCUGGGGAGCAUCUGACGCUCAGGUGCGAAAGCCAGGGGAGCGAACGG